rnacentral:rRNA from 1 species
AAAUUGAAGAGUUUGAUCAUGGCUCAGAUUGAACGCUGGCGGCAGGCCUAACACAUGCAAGUCGAACGGUAACAGGAAGCAGCUUGCUGCUUCGCUGACGAGUGGCGGACGGGUGAGUAAUGUCUGGGAAACUGCCUGAUGGAGGGGGAUAACUACUGGAAACGGUGGCUAAUACCGCAUAACGUCGCAAGACCAAAGAGGGGGACCUUCGGGCCUCUUGCCAUCAGAUGUGCCCAGAUGGGAUUAGCUUGUUGGUGAGGUAAUGGCUCACCAAGGCGACGAUCCCUAGCUGGU